UCUCCAUUUCGCACACUCUCUCGUCGGUCAGAGAAACGAGAGAGUGUGGGAAAGUGAGAGA
rnacentral:pre_miRNA from 1 species